AUGCAAGGCCUUGAGAUGUCACUCUGGAAACACACCGGUGCGCUUGGCAGUGACAGCAGCAGCAGCUGGGUGCUUUCUGAAAAGAUUGACAUGAGAAGUUCCUUGCCUCAGCGGGUGGCUACGCUGGGUAGCCGGGCAAAGGUCAGGUUGGAGAUGUUUGGAGGCAAGAGUGGGGUGGUGGUGCUCAGGGUUAUUGGAGAAGGCCUCUUUCUGUUCAGCCUCAGUGAUGGGUCGAUGAGGGAGAUUGACAGUGUGACCAAGGAUUACUUUCUCUGCCCAUAUGAAAUUGACUGGCUGUCGUGCCUCGCAAUCACAAACCUCGUCGUCGAUGGCUCGUUGUCGCAGGACGUAGAAAGGAAAAAGGCUCAAGACAGAUGGAGGACAUUAAUGGGAAUGAAUUUGGCGACGAACGGAGCAUCUUAA
rnacentral:rRNA from 1 species